GGGGUUUCUUACGGCUGUUUAGUUUUGUGUUGCACCCACCUGUCUCACUCAGUACCGGCGGCGGGCUUCGGUCUCACAGGCAUCUGCCUGCCACUGUUGCGAUUAAAGGCAUGAACUACCACGUCUGGCUUUUCCUCGUGAAAGGAUUAUUUCUGGUGGUUCUUAUUUUUUUUAAGAGCCCGCGUGAACAUAGCGUUUCUCAGACGUGAUCCUGUUUAACUUACGUAACUGGGGCAGGGAGAUUAGUUACGUUUGGGGCUCUGCAAGACCUUGACACAGCAGGGCUUUGUGAAGGACAAAAUGGUGGAGGCGGAGCAGGGCCGUCGCCUAUGAUGAGUACCUUUUCACAGACCUGUACUGAUUUCCAUGAGGAUAAGUAACUCUGAGGAGGCUGGCCCUGGACCUAAAGCCUUCUGCCCCCGCCCAGCUAUGUCUGAAAAAGUGGUAUAGAAGUAACCGAAUGCUAACGUUCCUUUGUAGGUUUGGGAACGUGAUUGCAUACGGAGGAAUGGAAAUGUGCUCUCGUUUUAAGAAUAUGGUUAAUCUCAACGGAUUUUACACUUUGGAGCCAGACUAGGUUACUCUUACAAAAGAACAUUUUGCUGGUAGUCAAGGUGGGUAAACAUGGUUUAUGCACACUUAGGAGGGAGCACAUUUAAAUGACCACUUAAUGAUGAGUGUAAAUGACAAGCAUAUGGCUGAAUUCUAGUGAUGUCAUCUUUCUACUGAAAAGUGGGCUGAAAAUGGAUGGAGAGAGUGCUGGGGCGGCUAUGAUUGAAUUAAGUAAUGGUUUGGUUUUCCUGUGUCCAGCAUCCUGUAACUCAAUUCUGAGGACUCAAACUACAUCCCAGGAUGAAUACAGGUAACUGUCCUAAUGAGGCUAGGGCAUUCUCAUCUCUGGAAAAACCAUUGAAGCAGCACACUGCCCUCUUAGAGCUCGUGUGCUCCACUUAUUUCUAGAAAACUCCAUCUUACUAAGUUCUUAAAAACCAAGUCACUGUCAGAUGAUUUGAAUCAAUGCACUGAUGCUCUGUGAAGGUGUGAAUUAAUAGCAUGUUAGAGUUCUGAUGGCAGUUAGUGGUAAUGAAGGAAUAUUGCUCCAUCUUGAUGGUUGAAAAAUAACUGCUUGUUACUCAUUCCCAGGUUGUCCUGAUGAUUUGUCUAAAGCUUUCUUGAUUCAGGAGGCGUGUAUUCCUGUAUACCACGAAUCUCCAGCAUUCAGAGGUUCUGUUAGCAGAAACAUACCUGUUGGUACAGAGAUUUGGUGUUUUGCCUAAAGACAAGGAACCAUGGCAGGGAAAUAAAAACUGUCUUCACGCAAGGCCAGGCUGGAAUGAGGUAAGAAAACUUAGAUGUAAGGUGUACUUAACUAUAAUUUCCCCAUGAAGAAACAUUCACACGUCUUACUUCCUGUCCUAGCACCAGAGCCUGAAAAGGUGAACCCACUGGGGCUGGCUGGGGGAGAAGAGGAAAAUUUGUUCCAGAAGGAACUGUCUGAGGGAUGGAGUUUCUGUAUACAGACAGGGAAGAAUUGUCGAUUGAUUAAAGGCAUAAGGUGGCUUGUCUCUUAAUUUCUAGGUCUGAGGAAAAGAAUGAGGAGCAUGUGAAUGGUAGGUAGCCCCUUCAGAUUGUUGGCGCUGAGUAUGGGGGCAGGCUGGAGGAACCCAACAGUGAUUAGACAAGCUGUAUGGUCGGUGUAACAAGUGUGCCUUAACACUGAAGAAAGGAGGGUGUGGGUGCAUUGGGCAUGCUGCAUACAUUUGCCUAAUUGAAACUUAUUUUACAGGAAUCCAAAUCUUCAAGGAUGUAAAGACAUCUCUGCUCCCUCUACGUACAAUUUUGACAAUUUGAAGUUGUGUGUCUUCAUUUUCUUAAUUAAAGUCUUUAGAAUUUG